UACGGGGGGGGCAAGCGUUGUUCGGAAUUACUGGGCGUAAAGGGCUCGUAGGUGGCCAACUAAGUCAGACGUGAAAUCCCUCAGCUUAACUGGGGAACUGCGUCUGAUACUGGAUGGCUUGAGAUUGGGAGAGGGAUGCGGAAUUCCAGGUGUAGCGGUGAAAUGCGUAGUUAUCUGGAGGAACACCGGUGGCGAAGGCGGCAUCCUGGACCAACACUGACACUGAGGAGCGAAAGCCAGGGGAGCAAACGGG
rnacentral:rRNA from 1 species